CCUACGGGAGGCUGCAGUGGGGAAUAUUGCGCAAUGGGCGAAAGCCUGACGCAGCGAAGCCGCGUGAGGGAUGAAGGUCUUCGGAUCGGAAACCUCUGUCAGCAGGGAAGAACGGUCACUGUGCUAAUCAGCCGUGAAUUGACGGUACCUGCAAAGGAAGCACCGGCUAACUCCGUGCCAGCAGCCGCGGUAAUACGGAGGGUGCGAGCGUUAAUCGGAAUUACUGGGCGUAACGCGCGCGUAGGCGGGAUGGCAAGUCAAGGGUGAAAUCCCCGCGCUCAACGUGGGAACUGCCUUUGAAACUGGCAAACUGGAGUGUGUGAGAGGCUAGUGGAAUUCCCGGUGU
rnacentral:rRNA from 1 species